UUGGGAUAGAAAAGUAAAAUAAUAAUUUUACAAACAAACAUGCCUUUAUAAACAUGUGCUGAGUCACGUACAAGAGUCUGUGGUUAAAAGACUACAAAAGACUGUUCUCCAAAAGAAGCGGUCCUAUCCGACUAUACUUCAGAUCACCUCCUCUCUGCUCCAGGUCCUCCACUCAAUGACCUGGUCAAUUGCGGAAACCAGUUCACUGCGACGACGGCGCGACGGUGGCUGAAAUCUGAAUUUUCGGCGGCGUCGGCGGACUUGGGCCGGGCCUUAAAACAGGCCCAACAAAUCUCAGUUGAACUGAGAUUUGUUUUCCACUUGGGCUGGGCUUCACUUGAUUCGCAGGCUGAAUUUCAAAGACUGAAUUCUGCUGGGCUGAUUUCUUGUGGGCCUGACUUGCGUGAAGGUUGGGCCGAACCAACUUGCUGGCUGCGCUGUGGGCUGGAUUUGGUGAAGCUGGGCUGAUCCGCAAGAGGAGACUGAAGCUGCUGGAUCCGUGGGCUUCGGUCUUCACUUGGGCUGAACGAAGAGAUGGGUGGCUGGGCUUUGACCGAUCCAAUGGAACACGCGAGCGUGGAGGGAAGCUUCGCCGGCAAACCGAGAGGGAAGCAGGGAAAAUGGAGGCCUUGGGAGUCAACGGCGGUGGUCCUUCGCUGGGGUUCUGACUGAAGACGCGUGGGCUGGUGAAGAUGCGGACAAAGGGAGCUGCUUCGCUUGGACUUCACGCGGCUGGAUUCGCUGGCAGAGGAGACCGAAGAUGCUGAGCUGCUCGCGGACGGUGGGCAGACAACCAGAAGACGCGCGGCAGCAGCUUCGCUUGGUCUUUGAGCUGGCCGAAAUCCACAACGUUGAAGUCAGUUGGUUGACCAACUCUGGUAGCUGGGAGACAUGUGGGCUAGCGUCGCAAACGGGAACGGAGGAGAAGGGGAGCUGGCUUCGCUGAUCUUCGGCGGACGCAUGGGGAUUUCUUCGGUUAAUGGAAAUUUGGGUGGAUGGUGGCGCUGCAGUGUUGAUCGAACUUGGAGACGACACAGGACUUGGCGGCUGCAGGGAUGAAGACUAAAGCUGAGAGGAACCGGUGGCCGCUGACUGGGACGGGCAGCUGGGGAAAGGAAAUGGAGGAAUUCGAUGGAGAUGGGCGGUAACAGAGAAAGAGAAAAUGGAGAAGCUGCGGGUGGUCUCCAGCUGGGGUGAGGCAUGCGCAGGAGUGGAGGGGAAUGGAUGAGGAUUAAGUCCCCAAAAGUCCAAUCUUAGUCCCUCCAUUAAACCAUUGUUCCCCUAAUACUUUCCAAUAUAAAUUCCCCCAAAUAAUCCCAAUUAAAGUCCCAAUUUUUCAGCCAUGUCCAAUUUCGAAAUUCACUAUAUUUAAUCUAAUUUCCCAAAUUGAG
rnacentral:lncRNA from 1 species